rnacentral:rRNA from 1 species
UACGGGGGGGGCAAGCGUUGUUCGGAAUUACUGGGCGUAAAGGGCUCGUAGGUGGCCAACUAAGUCAGACGUGAAAUCCCUCGGCUUAACCGGGGAACUGCGUCUGGUACUGGAUGGCUUGAGAUUGGGAGAGGGAUGCGGAAUUCCAGGUGUAGCGGUGAAAUGCGUAGAUAUCUGGAGGAACACCGGUGGCGAAGGCGGCAUCCUGGACCAACACUGACACUGAGGAGCGAAAGCCAGGGGAGCAAACGGG